AUUGGCGACGGAAGGGACGGGUUGUGUUAUGGACCUGCCAGGACUUGGGGGCGGGGCAAGGGGCGUGGCCUGGCGCGUGAGAGCCGGGGAAGGGAACAGCCAAGAUGGCGGCCGGGCUGAGGCGAGCGAAGCGUCGCUGAGGAGAACGUCAGGAAAAGGCCUUUAUUUUAUAUGAUUAUGAUUGUGUUAGUAUUUCAUAUUAUAUUAUUAUCGAGACGCUUUGGGGCUGAACCGGCCCGUCCUGGUGCCGUAUAAGCUGAUCCGGGACAGCCCCGAGGCCCUCGAGGUGCUCGGCCUCCCAGACGAGAUCCCGUUCCGGAACCCCAACACCUACGACAUCCACCGGCUGGAGAAGAUCCUCAAAGCUCGCGACCGCAUCCGCAUGGUGGUGACGAAUCCGCUUCACAGUGGCCCAUGUACAUGCUGGACUACGGCGGCCUCAACGUUCCGGUUCCGGGAGCCAUGAAUUAUUCGGACCUCAGUUUCUGAACCAGAACCUCCGAACAAAACAAAACAAAAAAAUAAUGAACAGCGUGUAAUUUUCGUUUGUACAAAGUGUAUAUUAUUCCAAUAUGUAUUGAGGCCUUUUAGUUUUUCCAAUGAUUUUUACACUAUAUUCCUGCCGCCAGGGCCUUUUUAAAUAAAAAAAGAAUAAGAAGGGUUGCCUUGCUCUGAAAAAUCAAA